GCAAUCAAAGAGUUUUCACUCUACAUUUGAGCUCUCACUUUUUUGUCUCCAAGCUUCCAAGCUUUCAAGUGCUCAAGUAUCCUAGCUUUCCAAAAGAUUCAAAAGCUCUUCAACUUCUUCUUCUAAUCUUCUUGUUCAUCUCUACAAGUAAAAAGUGUUGUUUUCUUAAAUAUUCCACUCCUCUAAUCACCUCUUGUGUGUGUCCACUUUGGUUGAGAAGGUUGUCUUAAUAGUACCAAAGUGUGAGAGAAGGUUUUUGAGCUCAACCAUAAAGCUCUAGUUUAGUUUUAUAGAGUUUCCGGAAAAACUCUUAGGUCGAAUCUACCUUGAAAGAUUUUUAGGUUUUUAAGAGUUCCUUGAUACUCUAAAGUGUGAGUCUACCCGUAAAAGACUGGUUUCUAAGCGAAGUUAGCCUUAAAGCUUAGAGAGGUUUUUAAGAGUUCCUUUGAUACUCUAAGGUGUGAGUCUACCCGUAAAAGACUGAUUCCUAAGCGAAGUUAGCUUUAAAGUUUAGAGAGGUUUUUAAGAGUUUUCUUGAUACUUUAAGGUUUUGCCAUUAUCUUUAGGCUAGUGAAUUCCGACAGUUGGUCGGGACUGGAUUAGCCCUUGUUUGGGUGAACCAGUAUAAAUUCUCUUGUGUUGUUCUUUGUUAACUUUUGUUUUUAUCUUUCAUCUAAAAACAACUAAACAACACUUAAUUGAAAAGGAUCCCUCUUCCAGUUAUCUGGUCGAAUACAGAGGUUGACUACUUUACGCAGAUCCCUCAUCCAGUUAUCUGGUCAACUAUCUGAGGUUAUAAUCAUUGUAUUAAAUCUUUAUUCAAAUAUUUGUUUAAGCAUUUACUUAUCAAAUAUAUAUUCAGUUAUCUGGUCAUUUCUUUAUAACUUGCUUAUCAGAUAUAUAUCCAGUUAUCUGGUCAUUUACUCUAUAAUAUAACUUGUGCUUACAAUAUAACUUAGUAUUUAUAUACUAUAGUUGUUUGUGAAGCACUAUCUAAAAGUUGACUCUGUAUUCAUAUAAUGUAGUAAACUUCGAGAAAAAGCAAGUCCAAUAUAUAAUAUUAUAAGAUAUAAUAUUACAUUCCUUAAAAUCAUAUAAUAGUAUUAUAUUGUUAACAAUAUUUAUACUAUUAUUAUUAUACAACCAUUUGUGUAUAUAAGUGUGUGCAGUUAAUUCUGCUGUUAAUCUACACAAAUCGAAAAGAGGCUAUUAUCCGGAGCUUCGGAUCACGAUCCAACAGUGUUCUCCGGAGGAAGCGGAGUGGCCAUGGACGGAAAAGAAAUAUCCGCCGCUAGAUUGUUAAACAGUGGAUUUGUGGUCACAUUCUCUUGGACUAUCAGUUUCUCUGGUACUAUAUCAGACUUGGCUGACAUCAAGGAGAAUGACGAAGAUGUCGUAGUCAUGGAGGAUGAAGGUGAGCAGACCAUGAGAUAUGAAUUUAGUGAAGAACUAUAGAGAUCGAGGAGGAGUGUGCACAGAGACGCCACUAGGGUUAGGGAGAUGGACGAUCGCGAGUGAAGGGAGAGGAGUCGAUUGGGAAGAACCCAAGGGUUUUGAAUUUUUGUAUUGGAAAAUGUCUAGAAUAAAAUAUUACAACUUUCCUAUAUAUACUAAGUGACUAAACCCUAAUUAACUUAAUGGGCCAACAUCAGAGUUGGGCCUGACCUAGCUUAAACACUAAUACACUUAACUUAACUUUAAAAACAGAUUCGAUAAUUACUCUCAAUACCCCCCCUCAAGCUGGAGAGUGUAUGUCAUAGAGUCCCAGCUUGGGUAAUAGAUUGCGCAAUGAUUUAAGACUUGCUGGUUUUGUUAAAAUAUAUGCCACUUGAGAUGUUGUUGAAACAUGCUGUAAUUUAAAUAGUCCAGCUUGAAGAUGAUCACAAAUUAAAUGAUAAUCAAUCUCUAUAUGUUUGGUGCGUUCAUGAAAGACUGAAUUUGAUGCAAUGUGUAUUGCACAUUGUUUCUCUUGAUGGCUUGACCUGUAGAUCAUUUAAAAAAUAAUGCAGCUACAUUAUCUUACAUACAGUUGAUGCCAUUGCCCUAUAUUCACUUUUAGCAGAUGACCUGCUUAUUGUUGUUUGUUUCUUAGAUUUCCAUGUUAUGGCUGAGCCACCUAACAAAAUUGUGUAUCCUGUGAUUGACCUCCUAGUUUUGGGGCAAUCAGCCCAAUCUGCAUCACAAUAAGCUUCUAAUUGUAAGGGUUCAUCCCUUUUAUAUAAGAUACCUUUGCCUGGAGGUCCUUUGAUGUAUUUCAAUAUCUUCAUGGCAGAGUUGAAGUGUGAUUGCUUGGGAUCUGCCAAAAAUUGACUAUAUAUGAUGACUAAUAGAAAAAGAUAUAUCAGGUCUUGUUAUUGUAAGGUAUAAUAGUUUCCCAAUUAGCUUUCUAUAGAUUGAUGGAUCUUUUAGUGGGGCAUCAUUCUCAGAGUUUUUGUAGUUGUGAGACAUUGGGAUUUUGGAUGGAGAGGAUCCCAAUUGUCCAAAAUCAUGUAGAAUAUCAAGGGCAUAUUUCCUUUGUGAUAGAAAAAUACCUAAGUUGGAUUGAGACAUCUCAAUUCCUAUAAAGUAUUUGAGUUUGCCCAAAUCCUUUAUAUGGAAUUGAAGGUGUAGAUAUUCUUUCAGUUUCUGAAUUUCAGCUUCAUUAUCAGCUAAUAUGAUUAGGUCAUCCACAUAGAUAAAAGUAGGCAGGUAUAUGAGUUUGAGUUUGAUUUAAAAAAUAAUGUAUAAUCAGAAUGAGAUUGUGUAUACCCAAAUUUAGUUAAAGCUGAAGUGAGUUUUUCAUACCAGUUUCAUAGGGAUUUCUUUAAUUUGCGAACUCUGGUGUCAUCUGAUGAUAGCAUCCCUGGAGGUGGAGACAUGUAUAUCUCCUCAGAUAAAUCACCAUGUAAGAAGGCAUUAUUCACAUCCAUUUGAUAUUUUGUCCAAUUCUUGAUUGAUGCAACUGCUAGAAGAGUCCUGACAGAUAUUAUCUUUGCAACAGGUGAGAAAGUUUCUUUAUAGUCAAAGCCUUCUACCUGAGUGUGGCCUCUUGCAACCAAUCUGGCCUUUAGCCUUUCAAUUUCCCCAUUAGAUUUGUGCUUUACUUUGAAAAUCCAUCUGGAUCCUACAAUCUUUCUUCCCUUUGGUUUUGGUACUAUCUCCCAUGUAUCAUUGAGUUCUAGAGUUGCAAAUUCAUCAUUCAUAACUUUCACUCAUUCAGGACUUUGACUAGCCUGUUUAAAAGAUGAUGGUUCUGUAGUUAUGGAGAUUUUGUCUAGAUAGUCAGUAUGGGCAAUGGAUAGCCUUUUGUAUGUUAGGUAGUCAUGCAUUGGAUAUGAAGUGCCUUUUGAUUUUCCAUUACUUGUUGCAAAAGAACAAAAGUAGUCAUUUAUUUUUAUGGGAGGCCUUGUUUGCCUUUUUGGAUAUCUUGGGUUUAGUUGAGUGUUUGAUAUUGAAGUUAUUUCUGGAUUUGUGUUCAUGUGUCGUCCUUGUAUUGCCUCUGAUGGAUCAUAGUUUGAAUUUGUUUGUGUUGUCUCUGAUGAUUUAGAGUUUGGUGUUGUUUGAUUUGGUAUUUCAGAGUUUGGUUCAGUUCGAAGUAUUUGAUAUACCUCUGAAGAGUCAGAGUCAAUCAUUGAGUUGUUGUUGGAAUUUCUAGUUGAUGUUUGAUUAGUGGUUUCAUUUAGAUUAAUCUCAUUUAAGGGAAACACAUCCUCAUAGAAGAUCACAUCUCUACUUAUGGAGAUGUGUUGAGUAUCUAAUUCAUAAAUGAUGGGACCCUUUUGGGUUGGUGGAUGUCCUAGAUAUAUGCAUUUUUUAGCUCUAGGGGAGAAUUUGUCUUCUUUUACAAGACAUGUAGCAUAGCAUAGACAACCAAAGGUCCUAAGACCUUCAUAAUUGGGCUGUUUGGAAUGCAUGAGUUCAUAUGGGGAUAGGUUUUGUGUUACCUUAGAUGGUAACAUAUUGACAAUGUGGGUAGCUUGGAGUAUUAAGUAUCCCCAUAACUCAAUUGGGAGUGAGCACUGUAGUUUCAGUGCCCUGACUACAUUUAGGAGGUGUUGAUGUUUCUUCUCAACCACACCAUUCUGUUGUGGUGUGUGUGGGCAGCUGGAAUAAUGGAUGAUUCUAUUUGUUUUUAGAAAGUCAUCCAUGACUGAGGAGAAGAAUUCUCCACCAUUGUCAAUCCUAAUUGCUUUGAUAGAGGUAUCAAAGUGGUUAUUAAUAAGAGCAUGUAAAUUUUUAAAGAUGGUAAAACAUUCAGACUUCAUAGAUAUUAAAUAGGUCCAAGUAUAUCUAGUAUAAUCAUCAACCACAGUUAAAAAAUAUCUCUUCCCAUGGAUUGUUGGAGUGUGAAAGUUCCCCCACACAUCCAUGUGAAGUAAAUCAAAUGCAUGUUUAGUUCUAGAUGCAUGUGAUGGAAAUGAUUUCCUAGGUUGUUUAGCAAAAUGACAAGUGUCACAGUAUUUAUCAAAAGUAGAGUUUGAAAAAUUAAAAGAUAAAUUGUUUAAAAUGUGUUUGAGUCUGUCACUUGAAGUGUGACCAAGUCUUCUAUGCCAUGUAGAUGUUGUGAUGACACCUGCAAAACAAUCUUCUCUAUUGGUAUGUGGUAAUAAGUAGAGCCCUUUUUCCAUCCCUACUCUGACCAACUUCCUUCAUCUGAACCUUGUCAUAUAUGAAUGCACGUGAUUUAGAGAAUUGUAUUGAAUAUGUAUUAUAUUGAGUCAAUUUGCUAAUGAAUAGCAAAUUCACUUGAAAGGAUAGAAUGAAGUACACAUCCUUUAGUGUAAUGUUGGGUGAGAUAGAAAUGUCAUCCUUUUGGGACACUGUUUGACUGUCCCCAUGCAUUAGGUAAUGAAAUCUUGAAAGGAUUGCAUUUUGUAAGUUUUUGAAAUAAGGAUUCAUUUCCACUCAGGUGCUCUGAUGCACCUGAAUCAAUGGUCCAAUAAAUAUUUGUUAAAAACAGAAUUUGCAUUACCUGAAUCUUUAUACUUGGGCAUGGGCUUUGGAUUAUAUUUUUCAGAGUAGAGUGGGAAGCCAUAUGGUCCAAUGGAAUUUUCAGAAGAUUCUGCCUUUUUGUCAUUACUGUCCAAGUCUGUUCAGUGUUCACACAGUUUGUUGAACCUUGUGCUUUGUUAAUCACAGAUGAUGUUGGAGUUGUAGGAUUGGUCCUUGUGACAGAUGAAGUGUUUCUAAAAGGAUAUCCAUGUUGGUUAAAACACUUCUCAUCACUGUGCCCAAAUACAGCACAGUGAAAACAAUAGUACCUUGUGUUCACUUGUUUAGCACUUUUGUAGUAGAUUGGUUCAGUAGGGGUUGGAGGUCUCUUCCUUUGGUUUACAUUUGCAUUGGAUAAGGAUGGAGUGUUUGUAGGCUUGGUUGUUUGAUAGGGUGCUUUCCCUUUGACAGAAUAGAAAGCAGAGCCUGAUUCAUGUUUGUGUUGUUGGUCAGUUGCUGUUGGGCUUCUUCAUAGAUAACCAUUGAAAAGACUUUCCCAAAGUUUGGGAGUUUAUCCAUAGACAGAAUGGUAGACCUAAUCUGUCUGAAAUUAUCAUUCAAGCCCAUUAGGAAUUUCCUGACCUUGAACCUUUCUUCUCUCUCAUUAAUUCUACCAUUCACAUUGCAAGUGCAGGUGAUGCAACUACAUCUGGGAACUUCACCAUAAGCAUCCACCUCCCUCCACAAUGUCUUAAGGGUGGAACUGAACUUAGAUACAGUGUUUGACCCUUGCUGAAGUAAGGCAAUGUCCUGAGUUAGCUGAAACAAGUGGGUCUCAUUGGAUUGUUUGAACUGAUUUCUGAGGUCAGUCCAAAUAAUAGAAGCGUCAUCAAUGUACAUUAUUUGGGAAGCUAUCUCCUGAGAGACAGAACUCCAUAUCCACUGACGGAUUAUCCCAUGACAAGUCACCCAAGCUUCAUGUUCCUCUAUUUCAUUUUGAGAUGGUUCUUUAAUGGACCCAUUCACAAAACCAACUUCCUUCUAGUGAUCAGCAUGGUGGUCAUCUCUCUAUUCCAGGGAUAGUAGUUCUGACUACCUUGUAGGAUAUUUAUAAUGGAUGGAGUACCAUAGUCUGUGGAUCUGAAGAAAUAGAUAGAUGUAUGGUCAAAUAAGGGACCACCAAGUGGUUUCUUUUGGACACUCUGGACAAUUUCAGUUUCUGCCAUGAUGAACACUCUAGCAUUUUUCAUGAUAAUAAAAUUGUAUCAAUUUAAUGUAGAUGAAUUUUGAAUGGAUCAAAGAAUGUAAAAUAAAAUUUGAAUUUGGUGAUUUAACUUUGGCAGUGGCUUUUAUUCCAC
rnacentral:lncRNA from 1 species